rnacentral:rRNA from 1 species
UACAGAGGUCUCAAGCGUUGUUCGGAUUCAUUGGGCGUAAAGGGUGCGUAGGUGGCGCUGUAAGUCGGGUGUGAAAUUUCGGAGCUUAACUCCGAAACUGCACUCGAUACUGCGGUGCUUGAGGACUGGAGAGGAGACUGGAAUUCAUGGUGUAGCAGUGAAAUGCGUAGAGAUCAUGAGGAAGACCAGUGGCGAAGGCGGGUCUCUGGACAGUUCCUGACACUGAGACACGAAGGCCAGGGGAGCAAACGGG